UGAAAAAUGGUGUCACAUAAUUGCUCUGUUAUGUUUAAGAUUGAUGGUAACUUCACUUCUAGGCAGUUCCCUGCUGAAUUCCUUUUAGUUUGGCCAGAUCCGAUUUGGGUCAACAGGCAGACUAUAUGAAAAUAACUUAGGAGCAGAAAUCUACAACGAAGUUUUUUAAAACUUAAAUGGAAGUAGGCCUUAGAAACCAUUUUGUGGCAUGACAUCACUGCCAGUAUGCAUGACGUCACCAAGAGGAUGUGAUGCUGGUCCCCACAGCAAAAGCUCACAAAGCUACGUUUGCGCAUGUCUAAUGUAAAGGUGUAGCCGCGCAUGCUCUAGAGGUCGAGGAGGGUGUCACGGUCGCUGACGAUCCGCGGGCGCAGCACACUUGCCCCGGAAGUGCUUGGCGCGCGGCGCGGCUGGGCGCUAAGAUGGCGGCGGCGUGAGUUGCAUGUUGUGCGAGGAUCCCGGGGCUGCCGCAUUGCUCCGGCCCCGCCAUGGCCGUCACCAUCACACUUAAAACGUUGCAGCAGCAGACCUUCAAGAUCCGCAUGGAACCUGAUGAGACGGUGAAGGUGCUGAAGGAGAAGAUAGAAGCUGAGAAGGGCAGAGAUGCUUUCCCUGUGGCUGGACAGAAACUCAUCUAUGCUGGCAAGAUCUUGAGUGACGACAUUCCCAUCAAGGAAUACCAUAUAGAUGAGAAGAACUUUGUGGUUGUCAUGGUGACCAAGGCCAAGGCUGGUCAGGGUACCCCAGCACCCCCAGAGGCCUCACCCACUGCUGCCCCGGAGCCCUCCACACCUUUUCCUCCAGCCCCAGCAUCCGGCAUGUCUCAUCCUCCACCUUCCAACAGAGAGGACAAGAGCUCAUCAGAGGAGUCAGCCACCACAACGUCUCCAGAAUCCAUUUCUGGCUCUGUUCCCUCUUCAGGUAGCAGCGGGCGAGAGGAAGACGCAGCUUCCACAUUAGUGACUGGCUCUGAGUAUGAGACGAUGCUGACUGAGAUCAUGUCCAUGGGCUACGAGCGGGAGCGGGUUGUGGCCGCAUUGAGGGCCAGCUACAACAACCCCCACCGAGCCGUGGAGUACUUGCUCACGGGAAUUCCAGGAAGCCCUGAGCCUGAACAUGGUUCUGUCCAGGAAAGCCAGGCGCCCGAACAACCGGCCACAGAAGCAGCAGGGGAGAACCCCCUAGAGUUCCUGCGGGACCAGCCUCAGUUCCAGAACAUGCGGCAAGUGAUUCAGCAGAACCCGGCGCUGCUGCCUGCUCUGCUCCAGCAGCUGGGCCAGGAGAACCCUCAGCUCUUGCAGCAAAUUAGCCGUCACCAGGAGCAGUUCAUCCAGAUGUUGAAUGAGCCCCCCGGGGAGCUGGCGGACAUCUCUGAUGUAGAGGGGGAGGUUGGUGCCCUAGGUGAGGAGGCCCCACAGAUGAACUAUAUCCAGGUGACACCGCAGGAGAAGGAAGCUAUAGAAAGGCUGAAGGCACUGGGCUUCCCGGAGAGCCUGGUGAUCCAGGCCUACUUCGCGUGUGAGAAAAAUGAGAACUUGGCUGCCAACUUCCUCCUGAGUCAGAACUUUGAUGAUGAGUGAUGCUGGGAGGCUAGAAGGCCCCCACCCCACUCCACAAAAGUUUAUAAGAGAAAAGUAUAUAUAUAUAUAUAUAUAUAUAUAUAUAUCUCACAUAUAUAUAUAUUCAUGUUUAUUUAAGAGGAAGAAAAAUCAAAAACCAUUAAAAAAAACAAAAAAAACAACCCACCCAGCCCAGCUUCCUACCCUCCUGAAGUGGCCCCUAUUCCCAUCUGUCUGAGAAGACCUGGGCCACACAGCUGUCCCUAUCCUCUCAACAGAGCCCAGCCUGCCCAAAGUUGUUGGCAAGACCAGGAAGCGACAGAUGGGCCCCUCUUGGCCUCUGUCCCAGCUCCCUGUAGCCAGAUGGAGAGGCGCCUGCCUGUUUCCCCAGCCCCUGAAGCAUCCCCAAGGACAACCCUCCUUCCUCUACCAU